rnacentral:rRNA from 1 species
GACGAACGCUGGCGGCGUGCUUAACACAUGCAAGUCGAACGAUGAAGCCGGAGCUUGCUCUGGUGAAUUAGUGGCGAACGGGUGAGUAACACGUGAGUAACCUGCCCUUGACUCAGGGAUAACUGCUAGAAAUGGUAGCUAAUACCGGAUACGACCCUCGGAGGCAUCUCCAGGGGGUGGAAAGAAUUUCGGUCAAGGAUGGACUCGCGGCCUAUCAGCUAGUUGGUGAGGUAACGGCUCACCAAGGCGACGACGGGUAGCCGGCAUGAGAGGGGGACCGGCCACAGUGGGGCUGGGACACGUCCCAGACUCCUACGAGUGGCAGCAGUGGGGAAUAUUGCACAAUGGGCGCAAACCUGAUGCAGCAACGCCGCGUGAGGGAUGACGGCCUGCGGGUUGUAAACCUCUUUUAGUAGGGAAGAAGCGAAAGUGACGGUACCUGCAGAAAAAGCACCGGCUAACUACGUGCCAGCCGCCGCGGUAA